UACAGAGGUCUCAAGCGUUGUUCGGAUUUAUUGGGCGUAAAGAGCUCGUAGGCGGUUCCGUAAGUCAGAUGUGAAAACUCAGGGCUCAACCCGGAGACGCCAUCUGAUACUGCGGUGACUGGAGUCUGGUAGGGGAACACGGAAUUCCUGGUGUAGCGGUGAAAUGCGCAGAUAUCAGGAGGAACACCGAUGGCGAAGGCAGUGUUCUGGGCCAGUACUGACGCUGAGGAGCGAAAGCGUGGGGAGCAAACAGG
rnacentral:rRNA from 1 species